rnacentral:lncRNA from 1 species
UCUCUCUCAUUAUUGGUCCAAAUAUUAUGGGACCAAUUUCAUUCUUCUCUUUUUAAUUUCUACUUUCUAAAAAUGAUUUUUAAUUGUUUUUAUUUUACCAUUUGAUAUUUUUUAGUAAUUUUCUCUUUUCUGGUUAGUUUUAAUUCAUUUAAAAUAGUUUUUGAUAUACAAAAAAUACAAAAAUAUUUUUCUAACCUCUUUGAGUGAUGAU